rnacentral:rRNA from 1 species
GAUGAACGCUGGCGGCGUGCCUAAUACAUGCAAGUCGAGCGAACAGACGAGGAGCUUGCUCCUCUGACGUUAGCGGCGGACGGGUGAGUAACACGUGGAUAACCUACCUAUAAGACUGGGAUAACUUCGGGAAACCGGAGCUAAUACCGGAUAAUAUAUUGAACCGCAUGGUUCAAUAGUGAAAGACGGUUUUGCUGUCACUUAUAGAUGGAUCCGCGCCGCAUUAGCUAGUUGGUAAGGUAACGGCUUACCAAGGCAACGAUGCGUAGCCGACCUGAGAGGGUGAUCGGCCACACUGGAACUGAGACACGGUCCAGACUCCUACGGGAGGCAGCAGUAGGGAAUCUUCCGCAAUGGGCGAAAGCCUGACGGAGCAACGCCGCGUGAGUGAUGAAGGUCUUCGGAUCGUAAAACUCUGUUAUUAGGGAAGAACAAAUGUGGAAGUAACUAUGCACGUCUUGACGGUACCUAAUCAGAAAGCCACGGCUAACUACGUG